GUGCUUUAAGUGAAAGUGAAAGUUACCUGAAACAUGGAACUAUAAGUCUAGAAGUCAAUAAACUGUUUAUCUCUUUAAACAAGUAAGAAAACAGCUGAUAUUUACCUGCAGGAAGAGCAAUGGCAGAAUCAAAACAAAGGGUGACCAGUGAAAAGAGUUUAGAAAUACCUCAAAUCAUUACAUCCUCUAGUGGUCCUUUAACUGAAGAGCUCCAGUGUUCUAUCUGUCUGGACGUUUUCAUUGAUCCAGUCACCAUUCCAUGUGGACACAGCUUCUGUAAAACCUGCCUGAAAGAGUGCUGGGACAAUAGCAAGGGCUGCUGCUGUCCAUACUGUAAAGAAACAUUCAGUAAAAGACCCGACCUCAAGGUCAACACAGCACUUAGACAGGUCGUGCAGCACUUUAAAGAAAAGUCUGGUCUGAGAAAGUUCUGUGAAGUUCUUUGUGACAUCUGUGAUGAAAGAAAGCUGAAAGCCGUGAAGUCCUGCCUGGUGUGUCAGAGCUCUUACUGUGACACUCACCUGGAACCUCAUCACAGAGUCCAACGUUUAAAGAAACACAAACUCAUUGAUGCUGUGGUGAAUCUGGAGGACUAUAUAUGCCAGGAACAUGAGAAACCUCUGGAGCUCUUCUGCAGAGAUGAUCAGAUGUGUGUGUGUCUGUUCUGCGCUGCGACAGAUCACAAGACUCACAACACUGUUCCUAUAGUGGAGGAGAGUGGAGAGAAGAAGAAUAAGCUGGUGAAGACACAGGCAGAUGUGCAGCAGAUGAUUCAGGACAGAAUCAAGAAGAUCCAAGACAUCAAAAACUCAGCAGAACUCAGAAAAAAAAACACAGAGGAACAGACAGCAGCCAGUGUCGAGCUUUUUAUGGCUCUGAUGCGCUCCAUUGAGAGAUGUCAGGCUGAGCUGCUGGAGGUGAUGGAGGAGAAGCAGAAAGCAGCAGAGAAACAGGAUGAAGAGCUCAUUAAAGAGCUGGAGAAGGAAAUCACUGAGCUCAAGAGGAAAGAUGCUGAGCUGGAGCAGCUUUCACACACUGAAGAUCAUCUUUAUCUCCUACAGAUUCACCCAUCUCUGUGCAGCCCUCCACAAACCCAGAGCUGGACUGAUGUCAGUACUGACACUCAUUUGGGUGUGUACAUGCUAAGGAAAUUCCUGAAUCCACUUCAGAUGACUCUAGAAGAGAAACUCAGUGAAACUGUCUCCACAGAGCUGAAGAUGAUACAUCAACAUAAAGUGGAUGUGACUCUAGACCCUGAUACAGCUCAUCCUGAACUCAUCCUGUCUGAUGAUGGAAAACAAAUAAGUAAUGGAGACAUUAAGCAUGAUCUCCCAGAUAACCCAGAGAGAUUUGACAAACUUCCCUGUGUCUUGGGAAAGGAGGGGUUCUCCUUGGGGAGAUUUUAUUUUGAGGUACAGGUGGAGGGAAUGACUGGCUGGAGUUUAGGAGUGGUCAGAGAAUCCAUCAGCAGGAAGGAGGAGAUCGAAAAUAGACCUCAGGAUGGAUUAUGGGCUGUGGGUCUUUUGAGUAUUGAUGGAUAUACAUCCGGGGAGUCAGUGGAUUUUUUGGGAGUUUUAGACAAUAACCCAUUAUUUAUUACUCUGAGAGUAAAUCCAAAGAAAGUGGGGGUGUUUGUGGAUUAUGAGGAGGGUCUGGUCUCCUUUUAUGAUGUGGAGUCUAGGUAUCAUAUCUACUCUUUCACUGGUCAGUCUUUCACUGAGAAACUCUAUCCAUACUUUUCCCCAAGAUUUGCUGAUAAUGAUGAAUAUAAAAACUCAGCCCCAAUGAUCAUCUUACCUGUCAACAGUGCUGGGUAGUAAGGUAUUACAUGUAAUCUGGAUUAUUUAAUCAGACUGCAAAAAAACAAUUUUUAAUUAGAUUAAAAAAACAUUUAAAAUACUCAAUCAGAUUACAGUUAAUUUUAUGUAUUAUAAAUCAGGCAACUGCAGUAUAUUGUUCGUAAUUGAUUGAUUCCUUCUAUUUUUUCUUCUUUCUAAAUAUUUUACAUUUUUAAUUCAAAAUCAGCCUACAGCUGAUAUAAAUUCGGCAAGUCUUUAAGUGUUUGCAUACACAUACCUUAUAUGAGUCAUCAGCCAGGUGGCUAUAAUUACACUGAAGACUGAGCAGUAAUCCACACAUAAAUGCUGAAGUGCCAUAAAGUUAGUAUUAUCUUAGCUAAUUGCUUUUGUAAUUUUUUUUUUUUGUUUGUAAAUAAAUAUAAUUAUAUUAUCAUUAUAAUUAUGUACUCAGCUUCAAAACUGUCCAUGAAUGCGCUUUUGUGACUGUUUGUGUGUGUGUGUGUGUGUGUGUGUGUGUGUGUGUGAUUUGAAUUAUGGAGACACUAGAAAUGUCCUCAUAAACCACAUUUAUAGCAUAAUACCCUUGUAAUUACCAGUUUGUAACCUAAAAAAAAUUAUCUUACAUGGUGGUCUUGUUCAUUUAAGAUCAUCCUUAGAUGAUAUUUGGCCUCAUAUCAGUCACAGUGACUGCACUUUAGAAAUUAAAAACAGCUGUGUGCGAACAGAGUUUGUGCCAUUCUUCUGUGAAUAGUUUAAAUCUACCAACAGCAACUGCAGGAUCAAAUGGGUCUUAAAAGAGCAGACGCGAUAACAAAGAUCCGUGAAAAAUCAUACAUUUUGUCAAAUAACUUAUGAGUUUAUCCCGAUCUACUGAUCCUGAAGGAAAUUUAAAGAAGUCCUAAUCUCCAACAACCUUUCAGAAAUGUGCUGUUUCAAUCCCACAAACAACAAUAUUUGGAAUUUUCAGCUCAAUUUGAGCGAAGCACCCAUAGACAGCAGUUCUAUUCUGCACUGCCAAAAAAGAAACCUGUAAGUGCUGGAACGGAGCGUUUGCUUGUAAACAGUAAUAUUGCUAUGUAACAAUAAUGACUGCCAGCUAUCUGCGCAGUGAUACAAAUAGAAGCUUUGUGAAGAGGUCAUAGCUGUGCUUAAUCGUGAUUAAAACACUGCUUUUGACCAAUUAGCAUCCAGGACCGGAUGUAUCCAUUUUAUAUUAAAUAACACAGUGUUUCAGUCAAAGAUGUUUGUCAGGCAUUUUCAGAAUUCUAAAUCCUUCUACAGAAGAAAGGGAGAUCAGCUUCAACCAAUUAAUGCUGCCUUCAUGUGCCAUCAGAUUUAUCCCACUUCUGAAGUGGUAAUUACGAGUAUGUCGUGUUCACGUUCUUUGUUGUCGGAAAGAACGGGAAACAUGGACGACGCCAGGUUCAUUCAUACAUAUUUCUUGAGGAACUUUUAUUUUGACACCAUAAUACAUAUCACUCAGUUAGCUUGCCAACGAUAAUUAUAUUUUGGUCAAAUACAAGCUAUUUUCACGGUGUAAAAAUGUACAACAUGCAUAGAAUGGUUGCUGAUAUACAUAAAUUAAUAUGACCAAUACGGCAAGCGUUACCAAUUAGCUGUAUUUAGAAAAAUUAACAAAACCUGUCAUUCACUACAGAAACUGUACUCUCCUCCACCAUGUUGAAAGUUUAGGACUCCUCCCAUCUCGGAAACUCGGGUAUCAAAAUGCCAGAGUUUUGGUGCAUUCCAUUUACCUCAGUUGUCGGAGCUGGGAAUGACGUCACACCCGAGUUGACCGCGUUCCAGUACGCAAGUCGGAAAACCAAGAUGGACGCGUCCAGGCAAACCUUUGUUGUGCUUGCUCUUUCAGAAUACAAAUGGGGUGGGGGAAGUAGCCAUUGUUAGCAAUACCAGUCAAUAAAAACACAUAAAAAAGCAGUAUUUUGCACAGAUAAUCCCGAAGUAUCAUGUCCACAGAUAGAGGUUGGAUAGUACUGUGUGCACCACUGAGUUUACUGAGACACAGACAAACAGAAGUGCUAAUAAACAAUAUAUUACUACUGUUUCACUUACUGUUGAUGCGCUGAGCAGCCAUUUUGGAUUCUGAAGUCGAUGUUGUUGCGGUUCCUCCGAGUUUUCGAGAUGGUUCCUACUAGGAACUCGGAAUUUCCGACUUCCGAGUACAAAUGGAACGCACCAUAUGCAUAAUUAUCUCAGAAUUUCCCAGUUGUAAUUUCGACUUGAGGGGUCAUUCAUCAUGUGCAACUUUCGAGUGGGAAACUCGUAAUUACGAUAAUUCCGAUAGCACGUGAAGGCAGCAUAAGACCAGCAAGCCAUCUUACGCUGGUUUAGCAGUUUUAUUCUUUUCAGCAGAGUUACAAAAAUCUUAGUAUGCUAGGCUACAGUCAUUUUAUCUCAUAUUAUCUUGCUCCUUGCUGUUUUUGUCCAUCAAGUAAAUCUUUUGUCUUAGGUGGUCACGUUUUGUUGUUUGUUGUGAAUAUGCCAUUUUAAAUUUUAAAAAAACUUAUUCAUCACACUCCACUUCCAUAGGUGUCGCUAACGAGCACUGAACUGUUUGUGUUACUCUACUGUAUUUGUGCUUAUGCUCCUAUCAAAGGCUGACAACUGGAGAUUGUUGUAUGUAACCGGCUAUUCCUGCUAAACUCACAUCAGUGUUGAUUCGCUGGACUCGUGCACUUAACUCCAGCAGCGAGUAAAUCAAGAGUAAUCAUGAGUCAUGCUUAACCGUUGGCGCUCCUGUUCUCUCAGACUCAGAGGAAAAGACGGACGGCUUCCACUUCGUGUUCGAGACGUGGCAACAG